CCCAGCAUCAUUGCAUGAGAGUUGCAGACAUCCAACUCAGGCUCAUGAGCUUGCCUUCAGAUUUAAUUCUAGAUGUCCUUUCUCUCCUGCACAUGUGAAUAAAUAGGAAAAUGAUUUCCGUUAGCUAGAUCUCUGGUUUAAGCAGAAAUGCAAUCAUCAUAGUUCCUAAAUGUUGUGUGUACACUCUCUAACUCAAUUUUCUCAGCAUUAUUUAGACACGCUCACUGCUUAAACCUGAUAGGAAGCCUUCCUGCCCAUACCAAUUAACCUAACCCUGCAAUUUAGUUUUUACCCAGUCGUCCUUGAAUCCUCCCUUGUUCUCUGUGUGGCUUAUUUGAAUUGGUUUGAAUCUUUUCCCAGAAAGUGUUUGUAAUCUAAAAAUUGUCUUAAUUUCUUUGGUCCAAUUUUUCCUGCUCUUUAAUUUCCCAUGGGACCCAAGUGGAUUUCCGAACUUUGCCACAACACAAUUUUUUAAAUACAAUUUUCUUUUUGUGUUUUGCCCAUGGGAACCGGCAUUCUAAAAACAGCAGUCAUCAGCCACAUCACAAUAAAGGGCUUCUCUUGUUCCUAUUCUCAUGUGGUUUCUAGAUGUUUCUCUCAGUAGGAUCCAGAAAGGAAAGAAGAGACAAAAAUAUGUCUUAACUAACACGCUAAUGCCACUCUCUACAGACUUAAAUAAAGAAACGAAGCUUAGACAGAUCUCCAAUUUGGCUCAAUCAAACAAAAAAAUAUUAAUCUUGCAUCACUUAUCAUUAUAAAAGCAAAAUACAGUCAUUAGAUGAGGUGAGUAUGUUCUCUGAAGAUUUCAUUUAGUACUUGGCACUCUUAGGUCAUCAUCUUUAGAGCCUCUAUGUUUAACCUUGAAGUGAUAAUAUGGACUUAUGGGUUUAAUUGGCUUAUUUUUAUACAUAAAUUCAUCAUUUCUUGCAAAAACACUAACAGAUAUUCAUAUCACUCUACAUGCAUUCACAUUUUUCUCAUAUUUUUCUAGGUAGGAAUUUUUAUGUUAAUGUUCUCCAUCCUGUAAACAAAUUGAGCUUUGUAAUAAGAUGUUGUAACAAACUGGUCAACUUGGGAUUUAAGAUCUGUACAAAAUAGAUUUCCUAUAAAACUAAUAACAAAGCAACACAAAAUACAGUGAUAUAUCCAAUUUCUUUUUAGCGUCGUAAAGAGAUUAAGCCGUGUUUCUAUAGAGUUAUAUAUGUUAAGGGAAAAUGGAGUUUAAAUAACAAAAGUUCUCAAAAUUCUUUUUUUUUUUUAAAGAUUUAACCUAUUUCUUCAUGAGAGACAGACAGAGAGAGAGGCGGAGACAUAGGCAGAGGGAGAAACAGGCUCCAUGAAGGGAGCCUGAUGUGGGACUCGAUCCCAGGACCCCAGGAUCAUGACCUGAGCCAAAGGCAGACACUCAACCACUGAGCCACCCAGGUGUCCCAAAUUCUUAAAAUUUGUUACUUCCAUUUCUUCAAGUAAGCUUCUUCUUAAAAAAAAAAAAAAAAUAAGCUUCUUCUUGUUUUUCCUAAUAAAACAUGGCCCAAAGACUAACA
rnacentral:lncRNA from 12 species